UCUUGUCUAUAUUUGUUGCACACUUUAAUGCUGAAUCAACAAGAGUUGAAUACAAUGUUUCCACAUCCAUCGAUCCCUGCAAACUCAGUACAUCUAAUCCAGCUGCAGUUUCCAUUUGAUCUUGUACCACAUCACUCCUUUCAUUAGACUUCACCCCCUUCUGAUCUAUAAGAAUCUUUGCUGAAUCCACCAAUGCCUCCUUAUUCACAUCCCUUGAAACCUCCAUGUUGCCUUGUGGUACGUCCCGUAUAACAGCCGGUAAUCCAGGUUCUACUGGACUGUGACCAUUACCUCCAAGAUCAUCAAUUUGUUCUACACCUCCAGCUUCAAUGUUCUUGAUCACUGCCUCUAUUUUGUCUGCUGAAUCCGAAGUCUCCUUCACACUCUUUUCCACUUGCACUUUGAGUCGAAUGAUGAGCCUUUGAAGAGAGUUGUUCAAACUCAGAAUUUUGGUGAUGUACUCGUUCUUUUUGUAGUUGGCCCGCUUGCGAACCUUGGAGCAUUUGCGAACGAGUUCCGCACCAUUCUUUAAUUGUUUAAUAAGAUUUUUCACUUCUUCCUUUGGAAGAUGCAAUAUCCUGUUGUAUUUUGCUAUCUCUUCUAUCAGUGGCUGUAAGCAUUCUCCCUAUUGCUU